AACGGCCGCGGUAUUAUGACUGCGCUAAGGUAGCGUAAUCACUUGUCUUCUAAAUAGAGACCAGUAUGAAUGGCACCACGAAGAUUUAACUGUCUCCCUACUCCAGUCAAUGAAAUUGAUCUAUCCGUGCAGAAGCGGAUAUAAAAACAUAAGACGAGAAGACCCUAUGGAGCUUUAGGAAUUAGGCAAACAUGUCAAGAAGCUAUAAACACAACGAAACAGCUUUAAACUUAGUGAAACAUGACCCAACUCCUUAGGUUGGGGCGACCCUGAGGCAAAAAACAGCCCUCAUAUGGAAAUAAAGGAAUGUACUAUUUAAGACCUUUACACCCACGAGCGACAACUCUAAGGAGCAGAACAUCUGACCAAAACUGACCCAGGAUUAAUUAACCUGAUUAUUGGACCAAGUUACCCUAGGGAUAACAGCGCAAUCUUCUCUUAGAGUUCAUAUCGACGAGAAGGCUUACGACCUCGAUGUUGGAUCAGGACAUCCUAAUGGUGC
rnacentral:rRNA from 1 species